AAACCAACCGGGAUUGCCUUAGUAACGGCGAGUGAAGCGGCAAAAGCUCAAAUUUGAAAUCUGGUACCUUCGGUGCCCGAGUUGUAAUUUGGAGAGGGCAACUUUGGGGCCGUUCCUUGUCUAUGUUCCUUGGAACAGGACGUCAUAGAGGGUGAGAAUCCCGUGUGGCGAGGAGUGCGGUUCUUUGUAAAGUGCCUUCGAAGAGUCGAGUUGUUUGGGAAUGCAGCUCUAAGUGGGUGGUAAAUUCCAUCUAAAGCUAAAUAUUGGCGAGAGACCGAUAGCGAACAAGUACAGUGAUGGAAAGAUGAAAAGAACUUUGAAAAGAGAGUGAAAAAGUACGUGAAAUCGUUGAAAGGGAAGGGCAUUUGAUCAGACAUGGUGUUUUGUGCCCUCUGCUCCUUGUGGGUAGGGGAAUCUCGCAUUUCACUGGGCCAGCAUCAGUUUUGUGGCAGGAUAAAUCCAUAGGAAUGUAGCUUGCCUCGGUAAGUAUUAUAGCCUGUGGGAAUACUGCC
rnacentral:rRNA from 1 species